GCCGGGAUGGCGGAAUAGGCAGACGCAGGGGACUUAAAAUCCCCCGGGCCCAAAGCCCGUGCCGGUUCAAGUCCGGCUCCCGGCACCA
rnacentral:tRNA from 1 species